rnacentral:misc_RNA from 1 species
GUAGAAUGGACUCUGUUGCUGUACCAGUAAAGCAGAUGCUCCAAGGGCAGCUGUAACAGCCCCAACCAUGACUGUGUCAUUGUUUGUAUUUUUCAAUUCAGCUUCUUCCCCCACUCUCCCCCUUGUAAUGUUCAUACCAAUAGUUUGAUCCAUUCCAGUAGUAAGCUGCUGAUCAGCCUCCUUAAUGCUGGACUUAUCUAGAUUUUCUUCCCUGGAUAUCUUUGUUUGGGCAUUCAAUGUCAGGUCAUUAUCAUACCUGGUACCUACAUUGAAAUAUUUUCUCAAAGCAGCUAAGCUAGAG